rnacentral:rRNA from 1 species
CCUACGGGAGGCAGCAGCUAAGAAUAUUCCGCAAUGGACGGAAGUCUGACGGAGCGACGCCGCGUGGAUGAAGAAGGCUGAAAAGUUGUAAAAUCCUUUUGUUGAUGAAGAAUAAGGGUGAGAGGGAAUGCUCAUCUGAUGACGGUAAUCCGAAUAAGCCCCGGCUAAUUACGUGCCAGCAGCCGCGGUAAUACGUAAGGGGCGAGCGUUGUUCGGAAUUAUUGGGCGUAAAGGGCAUGUAGGCGGUUAGGUAAGCCUGAUGUGAAAUGUACGAGCUUAACUCGUAAACUGCAUUGGGUACUGCUUGACUUGAAUCAUGGAGGGGAAACUGGAAUUCCAAGUGUAGGGGUGGAAUCUGUAGAUAUUUGGAAGAACACCGGUGGCGAAGGCGGGUUUCUAGCCAAUGAUUGACGCUAAGGUGCGAAGGUGCGGGGAGCAAACAGGAUUAGAUACCCUAGUAGUC